rnacentral:rRNA from 1 species
GGUGAAGGCUGGCGGCGUGCCUAAUACAUGCAAGUCGAGCGAAUGGAUUAAGAGCUUGCUCUUAUGAAGUUAGCGGCGGACGGGUGAGUAACACGUGGGUAACCUGCCCAUAAGACUGGGAUAACUCCGGGAGACCGGGGCUAAUACCGGAUAACAUUUUGAACCGCAUGGUUCGAAAUUGAAAGGCGGCUUCGGCUGUCACUUAUGGAUGGACCCGCGUCGCAUUAGCUAGUUGGUGAGGUAACGGCUCACCAAGGCAACGAUGCGUAGCCGACCUGAGAGGGUGAUCGGCCACACUGGGACUGAGACACGGCCCAGACUCCUACGGGAGGCAGCAGUAGGGAAUCUUCCGCAAUGGACGAAAGUCUGACGGAGCAACGCCGCGUGAGUGAUGAAGGCUUUCGGGUCGUAAAACUCUGUUGUUAGGGAAGAACAAGUGCUAGUUGAAUAAGCUGGCACCUUGACGGUACCUAACCAGAAAGCCACGGCUAACUACGUGCCAGCCGCCGCGGUAA